AGGAUUUAGAUUUUUAUAUCCAAAGAUUGUAUAGCAUUAGUGAAUAAAUGCAUUUUUCCUCUCUUAUAGCAUGCAAAUGUAUUUAAUAAGGUGACUGAGUUACAGAAAGAGAAGAGCAAGAGGAAGAUUUCAAGGUUCCCCAGAGCACUGAAAGUAGUGGACUAAUGAAGAACAAAAAGAACAUCACGAUUUUCUGUCCCUAUCUGGGUAAUCAUCUCCAGGCUGAUUAGUGUCCUUCCUCAAGAAAUGACACAAAUAUUAAGUCCAACAUCGGCAUUGAGGCAUGGCCUGGGUCUUCUCCAUUUCAGAAACAGUAUCCAGUUGAUACAGAGGAAUCUGACGAAGAAUUAUUUAGAUGAAUAUAAGCUGUUUUAAUUGCAUCAGUACAAAAUAUUUGGAGCUAAUCACAUUAUUUUUGAUAGUUCUAUGUUUUCGGUGGCCACAGAAGAUUUAAAAUUAAUUCUGUUUAUUAGAAUAUAAAGAACAUUAUUGUCACUGUAGUUACGAGUAUCAUAAAUAUCUCAGAAUAGUGCUGAGUCCCAUAUGAUUGGAAUCACUUUUGCUGUGAGGGGUAAGUGAAUAAGAUCUCAGGCAGUGAACACAAAUAUAGCCCAUUACACAUUAUUUAGUUAAAAUAUUAAUGUAUUUAAUGUAUUGCAUUGCAUAUAUCUUAAUAUCAGCCACCAUUAAGUGAAGCAGUUUUUUA
rnacentral:lncRNA from 1 species